UACGUAGGGUGCGAGCGUUAAACGGAUUUACUGGGCGUAAAGCGUGCGCAGGCGGUCCUUUAAGACAGGUGUGAAAUCCCUGGGCUUAACCUAGGAACUGCGAUUGUGACUGUCGGGCUUGAGUACGGUAGAGGGGGGUGGAAUUCCUGGUGUAGCAGUGAAAUGCGUAGAGAUCAGGAGGAACACCGAUGGCGAAGGCAGCCCCCUGGGCCUGUACUGACGCUCAUGCACGAAAGCGUGGGGAGCAAACAGG
rnacentral:rRNA from 1 species